AGCCCUGGUUCCCGCCUGCGCCUCUCCCUCCACACCGCCUUGCAAGCUGAGGGAGCCGGCUCCGGCCUCUGCCAGCCCAGGAAGGGGCUCCCACAGUGCAGCGGCGGGCUGAAGGACUCCUCAAGUGCCACCAAAGUGGGAGCCCAGGCAGAGGAGGCGCCGAGAGCGAGCGAGGGCUGCCUGCCAGCACGCUGUCACGUCUCAGCAAUAGACUGCUCUUGAGGCUGGAGUGCAAUGUUGUUAUCAUAGCUCACUGCAACCUGGAACCCCUAGUCUCAAGAGAUCCUCCAGCCUCAGCCUCCCUGUUCCAGGAUACAUGUGCAGGAUGUGCAAGUUUGCUACAUGGGUAAAUAUGUGCCAUGGCAGUUUGCUGCAUCUAUUAACCCAUUACCUAGGUAUUAAGCCCGAUACAAGAGUUAUGGAAAAGCUGCACUCUUCUACUUCCAAAGUUUAACUUCUUCACAGAAGUCAGUUUCAGAGUUGAGAAAAGCAAAUACUUGCUACAUAUUUUGAGGAACAAUAAGUAUUGAAGUUGCAAACAGGUUCUAUGGAUAUUUGUCAACAGAAGAUAGCUGAUCACAAAUGCGCAGAGAGGUAGAAAAAUGACACAAUGACCACCCUACCCUCUGAGUCAGCAAAUUGUUUUCUCAGUACAUUUCUACUCUGGUCCUUGUUUAAUAAAACCUCUUUCUCCUUACAGCUGCGUGCAGUAAUAUUUAUUAUUUAAAGUUCUUGUCUUCACCUUAACAAUCUUAGUUUCUGCUUUAAAAUAAUCUCUUAAAUAUUCAUAGGGAUUGCACAUGUUUUUCAGCUGCCAAUAAUUAUUAUUUACUAUACACUGUAUAGAUCUAAAUUUUAUGCAGAUUAUUCAGACAAUUUUUAAAAUAAUAGAUUCUGUCCUUCUUGUGACAGAAAAGUAAUUUCUUACCAAUGAUAAUAAAAGAUUUUUUGUGUAUUUGCUACAGUUAAGUUUUUUUAGAUAUUCCUGCUUUAAGAACUCUAAAUUAUUUGGAAUUUGCUUUUAUAAAUAAUGUGAAGUUGAGAUAUGGCAUAUUUUUUCUUCUAAGUUCAUAACUUAGAGUUCUAACUUCUUUUUCUGGCUGAUUUGAAAAUGGUGCAUUUUUAAUAUGGUAAAAACCUCCAUAUGCCUGUGUAUUUCUUCCAUAUUUUAUAUUAUUAUAUUUAUCUGUUCAUUCUCCCUUAUGAGAAAAAAUGUCACCUUUAACUACUAUGGGUUUUUAGCACAUAUAGGAUACAAUAUAAUUAAGCACAUUUAAAAAUAUUUUUUAAAUUCUCACUUAUUUUUUCUCAUGAAAUUUAAAAUUGAUUUGCCAAUUUUCUUUCAAUUUCCUUAAGUGUAUACAUAAUUUUGGCCUGUCUCCUAUGGUUUGUAUCACUACUUAUCCUAUUUUAAAAUUGUAAAACUUUUGUGGUUUUCUUAAUAUGGACUUUCCUAAUUUCUUACGAAGUUUAUUUCUACAUAAUUUAAAGUUUUAUAACUUUUGUGACUGGGAUUUGUUUUUCAUUGCAUUUCCUAAAUAGUAAUUUCUGUUACAUAGUCAAGCUAUUGAUUUUUGUUUCUCUAUGUAAAGAGUGCCUUACUAAUAUCCAGAUAUUCUAAUGACUUUCCUAGGGUUUUCAAAGCAGAUAAACCUUAUAUAAUAUAAUGCUUUUGUUCCAAUAUGUAUAACUCAAGCCAAAGCUUGAAAAAAUGAUUUUUAAAAGCAGCUAUGAAUGUGACUAUUUACAUCUAACUAUAUUUCUGCAUAUGUCUUAAAUAUUGAUAUUUAUUUUGACUUUCAUACUUCUAAACAUAUUCAAUAAAUAUCAUUUUGAUUCAUUUA
ensembl:lncRNA LINC01194 long intergenic non-protein coding RNA 1194